rnacentral:rRNA from 1 species
UACGUAGGGGGCGAGCGUUGUCCGGAAUUAUUGGGCGUAAAGAGCGUGUAGGCUGUUCGGUAAGUCUGCCGUGAAAGCCCCCGGCUCAACUGGGGAGGGUCAUUCGAUACUGAUCGACUCGAAGGCAGGAGAGGGUAGUGGAAUUCCCGGUGUAGUGGUGAAAUGCGUAGAUAUCGGGAGGAACACCAGUGGCGAAGGCGACUACCUGGCCUGUUCUUGACGCUGAGGCGCGAAAGCUAGGGGAGCAAACGGG